AUUCUCUUAUUAUAAAAAGUAUAUUAAGCUUCCAACUUAAAGGUUUAUUAAUUAAAGUGAAUA
rnacentral:tRNA from 1 species